UUGGGCCCCGCCCCUAAGAGGGCCCCGCGCAGUGUCUCUGCCUAAAGCAAAGCUCCCUGGCUCUCCCGGAAGCAGCAGCUGUUGCUGCUAGGCAACGAGAGACGCUGGUGGGGGGCGGGAGCUGAGGCAGAGGCAGCGGGGACUGUUGCAGGUCAGGAGGGGAGGAGAAGGCACGUGUGCUUUGCAGCCUUCCCCUCCCCUCCCCUCCCCCCCCCCCAGCACUCACCUGGAGGAGACACCUAGGGGGCUUCGGUCCGGUGGGAGACAGGAAUCUCGGCAGUGGACCUCACUCACCUUAGCAGCUGCUGGGGCUUCAGUCGGAAGAAAGCCCCGAUCCAGUACUUAGUGCUGUGAAUUCCAGGUGAGAGAGAGGGAGGUUCUUCCGGGAUGGACACUUCAAUCCUGAAGUUGUGAAAUACCGCCAGCUCUGUUUCAAGUCCCAGUACAAACGCUACCUGAACUCCCAGCAGCAGUACUUCUACCGACUCCUCAAGCAGAUCCUUGCUUCCCGCAAUGUAAGUUCUUGCAGGGUGCAGUGAGUUACUUGAUGCAUUACAUGAAGAACAUGGUUUAACUUUGUCUGUUGAAGGAUUCGGUGGUGUUCAUGUAGCCACUAUUCCCUGCUGGAAUGUUUUAUUAAAUACUGCAGUUGUUGUGA